GGCCCAGGGGUAGCAACCCAGCCUCAGGCCGUAGCGAGCUGCGGGAAGGGAGUCUGAGGCGGCGAGGACACAAAGCACUGGGAGCAGGACUACCACUCUGACAGAGGCAGGGCUGGGGCCGCGCCCAGGAGCUGCGUGGAGCUCUCGUAUUGGCAUGAGAAACAGGCGGGGCUGAGAUAGGGCCCGCCUCUCCUCCCUCCAGCCCGAGCGCCCAGGUUCUGUCUCGCCGCCUGAAAGAGCAUUUCGCGGGCUUUCCAACUGCCCUAGGUUCCACUCCCCGCUCCCGCCUGCGGUGACUGCGCGGUUUUUGGCCCGCCCGCUAAGCUCUGCGCAGGCGCGCCGGGCAGGGGUGGGGCGCCGGGCGGCGACGUUACGGAGCGGGUGAGGCGAGCCAAUCAGAGGAUUCAUUUCCGGGUGGCGCGGGCGCCAUUUUGUGAGAAGGGCUAUAAACGGGCGCUGGGUUCGGCCGCCUAUCCAGUUGCUGCUCAGGUGCUCACAGUUGCGAAGCUAGCACGCCCGCCAGCCCGCCCCUCUUCCCGGCCUCUCCACGCGGAAAGCAGCUGCUGGGGCGCGGCGUCGCCCCCGGACCUGAGAAGACCGCUGCCUGCCUGCAGCGCGCGGGCCCGCCCAGGCCGUUAGAGUCUCGGCGCCAGUUCGCGGGGCCCCGGGCCGCCUCGAGGCCAUGAGCUACGGCCGCCCGCCUCCCGAUGUGGAGGGCAUGACCUCCCUCAAGGUGGACAACCUGACCUACCGCACCUCGCCCGACACGCUGAGGCGCGUCUUCGAGAAGUACGGGCGCGUGGGCGACGUGUACAUCCCGCGAGACCGCUACACCAAGGAGUCCCGCGGCUUCGCCUUCGUGCGCUUCCACGACAAGCGCGACGCCGAGGACGCCAUGGACGCCAUGGACGGCGCCGUGCUGGACGGGCGCGAGCUGCGGGUGCAGAUGGCGCGCUACGGCCGCCCGCCCGACUCGCACCACAGCCGCCGCGGCCCGCCGCCCCGCAGGUACGGGGGCGGCGGCUACGGCCGGCGGAGCCGCAGCCCUCGCCGCCGCCGCCGAUCGCGCUCCCGGAGUCGCAGCCGGUCCCGCUCCCGCAGCCGCUCGCGCUACAGCCGCUCCAAGUCGCGCUCCCGCACGCGCUCCCGCAGCCGCUCCACCUCCAAGUCCCGCUCGGCGCGCAGGUCCAAGUCCAAGUCGUCGUCGGUGUCCCGGUCCCGCUCCCGCUCGCGCUCCCGGUCCCGCUCCCGAAGCCCGCCGCCAGUGUCCAAGAGGGAGUCCAAGUCCCGCUCGCGGUCCAAGAGCCCGCCCAAGUCUCCGGAGGAGGAGGGCGCCGUGUCCUCGUGAGCACAUGCUGCGGUCUCCUGUUUGAUAAAAGAAUAUUGGCCAGUAUUGCAGAUUUUAACUGAUUUGGCUGAUCCUCCAGGGACCAGUUUCUGUGGGCGUGUAUUGGAGCAGGUUUGUCUUUAAACGUUAAAGAUGCACUAUCCUCUUAGAGACAAACGAUCAGUUCGACUAUUGUUGUACUGAUGGGACUUCGUAUUCUAAUGGAUGUGGCAAACGAAUUGCAAUUAAGAAGCAAUGAACUUUUUGGAACCCCAAAAGAAAGUUUAUGCAGGUAUUGCACGGGGUGGGGAAAGGAUAGUGUGUCUUUAACUCUCAAAUUGUUUGGUCCUGUUUUUUAAAAGGAAAGGGCCCUGAGUAGCUCAAUAAAGACGUUAAUCUCAAUUGCCAAAUGUUUUAUUUGAAAAUAAGUUACUUAAAGAAUACAAUAAUUUCCCGAUUUCCAGUUUUUGUUUGGAUACAGCCCUUUUUUUUAUUUUUCCUUUUUUCCCCCCCUUACCUUUUUCCACCUUGGUUAUUUGGCCAAAAAUUCAAACUUCUAAAUGCUGUUGGUAGCCUUCAAAAUUCUCUUAAUUGGGCCUUAAAGACCAAAAAAGAAAAAAAAAACCGGAUAGUGGCUGGUGGAACCUUACUGUAACCUCCUUGUUUCACCAGAGCCUUUUAGUAAGUACAUGCCUGAAACUGAAACCAUGUGCACUAUAUCUUUGUAAGUAUUGGAAGGUAAACUGAACCUUUUUCUUUUCAAACCUAGAUGUAUCCGAAAGCAGCAUAACAGAGGACUUGGGGGAAAAAAGGACUACAUACUCAGUCCAUCGGUCCAUCGAAGAGUCCUUGGAACAAGCAACUGGCUGUUGAAAAGGCGCAGUUGUGUAGCAGUUGAGUAAUGCUGGUUAGCUGUUAAGGUGGCGUGUUGCAGUGCAGAGUGCUUGGCUGUUUCCUGUUUUCUCCUGAUUGCUCCUGUGUAAAGAUGCCUUGUCGUGCAGAAACAAAUGGCUGUCCAGUUUAUUAAAAUGCCUGACAACUGCACUUCCAGUCACCCGGGCCUUGCAUAUAAAUAACGGAGCAUACAGUGAGCACAUCUAGAUGAUGAUAAAUACACCUUUAUUCCCCUGCCCCCCCACCCAUGGUAAAUCUGAUCAUCCUCAUGUAUGAACUUAAAAUAUGGAAAAUGUUAAGGAAGCAAAUGGUUUGUAACUUUGUAAGUACUUAAAAACAUGGUGUAUCGUUUUGCUUAUGAAUAUUCUGUACUAUAACCAUUGUUUCUGUAGUUUAAUUAAAAUGUUUUCUUGGUGUUAGCUUUUCUCAGAA